CACUACCCUUACAGUGAAGAAUUUUCUCCUAAUGUCUAAUCUAAAUCUAUUCUCUUACAGUUUAAGACUAUUCCCCCUUGUAAAACUAUCUGCCUGAGUAAAGAGUCCUCCAUCUUUUUUAUAAGACACCUUUAAUUAUUGAAAGGCUGCAAUGAGGUCUCUCUGGAGCCUUCUUUUCUCAUCUGUAAUACUAAUUUGUGCUAAAUAGCACUGUCAGAUAAGGAUCUGCAAGCCUUUCACAGACAGACUUCUCUUGUGCAUGAAGAAGAUUAACAUGCCUCUGCUUAACCCAGUUUAUGUCUGUAUUUUCCUAGAGAAAACAUUUUGAAAAGUGAGACUAGAUGCCAGUCUCCAUUUUUAAAUGCCACAAAACUUUCAAACUACAAUGCAUAUAAUUAUCUGAUAUGAUUUGAGCUGGAGAAGUGGCAGAAAUUUGGUAACAUUUAAGUCUUUUACUGAGAAUUUUCUGAUUCUUCUUAAUAGUUAAAACAAAACAACAACAACAAGCUAUGAAGUGAGGCAUUUUUCUGUUAAAAAAUAAUCAUUUCCAUGAACAAAGUUUAUUAGAAUUGUAUUCAGUUUUUCAAUUAAUCCAAUAAUAUUUAAGAUUAAUCAUUUUUUUUUGCAAAACAUAGAAAUUCCAAGUAAUAAUAUUUGACAAAACUGAAAAAGGUGGGAUGUAUGAUACCCAUUUUAUAAACAUUCAAAUUAUCUAUUCUGAUUAUUACAAUAUUAUUGUCUCCUUUAAAUUGCAAAGAAAUAGUACUCUCAUUCGUUGUAUUCUCAUUUGACUUCUAUAUUUUGUGAUUGUGUUAUGGUCUCUGGGCCUUCUCUUUAACCUUUCCCUUUUUAUUAUUAUUAUUUUUUAGUUCAUUUACAGGUUUUAACUAUAAUUUUCUCUCACUGUAUGUCACUGGAGUUAAAUAAAACACCAAAAAUAUUAUUCAAUGGCUGUAUGAAGUUGGUAACCAUAAUUCUGAAUGUGGAUCAUAAAUCUCAGUAAGGACUAGACAACUAAACCAAAAGUAACCUAUUAUUCCACAGGUGCAAAAUUUAGCAAACUACUGUGGAAGCUAUGGAAACUCCUACUACGUUUUGGAAGUGUGAAGUACUGUGUAACAUUAUCCAUAUAUCUAAUUUACUCUGCAAAGGGUUCAGAUGUCAGUGAGGAAAAUUUAUAAAUAA